rnacentral:rRNA from 1 species
UCCACGCCCUAAACGAUGUCAACUGGUUGUUGGGUCUUCACUGACUCAGUAACGAAGCUAACGCGUGAAGUUGACCGCCUGGGGAGUACGGCCGCAAGGUUAAAACUCAAAGGAAUUGACGGGGACCCGCACAAGCGGUGGAUGAUGUGGUUUAAUUCGAUGCAACGCGAAAAACCUUACCCACCUUUGACAUGUACGGAAGAUCGCAGAGACGCGAUUGUGCUCGAAAGAGAACCGUAACACAGGUGCUGCAUGGCUGUCGUCAGCUCGUGUCGUGAGAUGUUGGGUUAAGUCCCGCAACGAGCGCAACCCUUGCCAUUAGUUGCUACAUUCAGUUGGGCACUCUAAUGGGACUGCCGGUGACAAACCGGAGGAAGGUGGGGAUGACGUCAAGUCCUCAUGGCCCUUAUAGGUGGGGCUACACACGUCAUACAAUGGCUGGUACAAAG